UCUGUUAGUCUUAAAGGUGCCACAAGACUCUCUGAUGCUAUAUGGGCAUAGUGAUUAAAACACUAAUUACAUAUUAGAGAAGAUGCAACUUAGGAUGUUUUUUUGUUAUUUUAAUUUUAUGCAAAGGAUUACACUCAAUUAAAAUUGGCUUUGUAAAUACACAUACACUCACUCACACAAUUAGUCAUUUUUUAAUGGGGGAGAGCUAAUUCAUACAAAUAAAAAACAUUAUUGAAAACCUGUCCAAAAGAGCUUGUGUCAUUAAAAAAUUUAAAUAGGCCACAGUCAACUUAAAAAUCACAAUUCUACCCCAAAAUGUUGUAACUACUAUUGUUAUAAGUAAACCUUAAUAUUACUGUAACUGAAAGAGAUUAGAGGAAAAAAGUAUUUAUUUUCAGUUUGUUUACUUUGUAAACUGGAUGUAGUCAGUUUCACCAUUUCCCCCUAUUGUUUGUAUGGUGUUUUGUGCAGCAACAGGGGAGAGAAAAACAUUUCUUUAAACAAAUGAAAAUGUGAUCACAAACCACAAAAAUCUGCAGGGGAAUUCAGCGAUAAAUGUAGUAUCAACUCAGGCGCAGCUGUAAAAAUUACUUUUAAUUAUUUUUUGACCUAACUGAAAAAAUACAUAUAUCAAGAUUAGCUUUCAUUUAUUUUUUAAAUACCAAGAACAUGAGUUCUACCAUUUAGUAAUCUGCCAUGACCUUCUAUUUACAGCCAAGUUAGGAGGACUCAAAAGAGUGACUUUCUUUUCUUUCUCCCACAAUCAUAGUGAUGCUAGCCUGCCUUUAUUAAUGGGUGCAUUGCCAUUGGAUGGAGCCCCUAGGACAGCAUCUGGUCACUUAACUCCAGGACCAACUCCCGGACCUACUCCUGAAAAGAUGAGACAAGGGUUGACAAAACAAGAAGACUCAGAAGAUAAAUCUGUUUUUUAUAUCAAGAAGCACUACAUGGUGCCAUGAAGUUUGGCUGACACAUGGAAUUAGCCUAGAGAGGAUCAGGUAAAUGGUUACUUUUCCCAGUAUACAGCAUCACUUUGCAAAGUUUGAUUAUUUUAAUUGGUGCA
ensembl:lncRNA